ACUUGGAUAACUGCGGUAAUUCUGGAGCUAAUACAUGCGUCAAAGCCCCGAACUUUUUGUGAGGGGCGCUUUUAUUAGAUGAAAACCAAACGACUUCGGUCGUCCCUUUGGUGAUUCUGAAUAACUUUCGGCUGAUCGUACGGCCAAGCGCCGACGACGUAUCUUUCUAAGGUGUGCCCUAUCAACUUUCGACUGUGGCAUAGACGCCCACAGUGGUUUUGACGGGUAACGGGGAAUCAGGGUUCGAUUCCGGAGAGGGAGCCUGAGAAACGGCUACCACUUCUAAGGAAGGCAGCAGGCACGCAAAUUACCCACUGGUCGAAGACCGAGGUAGUGACGAAAAAUAACGAUACCGGACCCAUCCGAGGCCCGGUAAUCGGAAUGAGUACACUUUAAAUCCUUUAACGAGGAACAAUU
rnacentral:rRNA from 1 species